GCAGACAAACACGACCCCCCCUCCGUCGGUCUGGUUUUCUUCUUCUCCAAAUCCUCUCACCAACCUAACGACCCUAGAGACAAAGCUGCGCAGCAAAUAGCAGCCCCUUCCCCGCUGUUCUUCACCUCAACCAGACCACCAGCCCACACGACUCACCCCCGGCUCCAAAAUACAAAGCCAACAGCCACACUCCCAUCAAACACACGCACACAGGCGCAAAGGGAGGGCAGCAGCAGUGGGAGAUCGGGAGUAAGAGGGAGGAGGCGAGUGACAUUCUAAAAAUCGAUGGAACAGUAGCCUCGAUUUAGGUUCGUUCGAGCUGUCCGUUUGGGAAUCUGAGGUUGCGAUGCGAGGUCCAUUGUUGAACUUUGUCGCGGUUCCGGCGAGUUUCAAGUUCGUUGAGGUCCCCGGUGCAAGCUUUCCGUUUAGUCAUUGAUUCGAGUAGUGUUUGACUUAUAUCGGUUUUAUUCAAAGGAGUUGCUGGAACAGUCGGACGCUACUUCUGUAUUGCAAACGUAAGUUAAGCUCUUAUCUUUUUUUUGCAAGCUGUGUUAUUUGGCUGGACAUAGAUUAGCAUUCCAUCAUUUAUUAAUUGUGAAAUAAUUAUGUGUGAAAGUAAUUUAUUUUUUCCGAGUCCUUGAUACUUCAAGAUGACGUUAAGUUUAGAAAUGUUAAUAGCAAUGCAUCUGACAAUAUUUGUCUUCAAAUGUGAAUGAGAAAAGUAUUUCCUUGAUCCAAUUGGAAUCACGCCUAAGAUUAUUAGUGGAUUUCCUUAAUUAGAACCUCCGCUAGUCAUCUUGUUUCUUAGGAAAUUAAUUAACCUUUUUGUAUAUUCGCUAGUAUACUCUAGGCGCGUAUUAACCAAUCAACCAUCGUUAUUGUGUACACGUUCGCGUGAUAUAAUUAUAAUUUUAAAAAUAAAAUUGGAGUAUGCGUUCGCGCAACUUCAACUAAUUUAUUAAUAAUAAAAAUGCGGUAUUAAUUGUGAACACGUUCGCGUGACAUGAUUUUUUGACGCGCCGAACAAAUGGGUACACGUACGCGUGACUCGUUUCAAUAUCAUCUUCUUAAUUAAAAAGCGGUGAAAGGUAAAUUCACAUAGGUUCUAAAAUCAGUAAUUAAACAAUUUAGUCAAGCCAAGUAUAAUCAAAGCAACAAUGCUAGAACAACGGAACUCGGGAGUGCUUAACACCUCCUCCCGGGUUAACAGGAUUCCUUACUCGGAUUUCUGGUUCAGAGAUUGUAUAACAGAGUCAACCUUUCCUCGAUUCGGGAUUCAACUGGUGACUUGGGACGCCAUAAAUUAUCCCAAGUGACGACUCUGAUUUUUUAAUAAAUAAACGAUCCCAUUUCGAUUGUCCUUUAAUUGGAAAAACUCUCUUGUACUUAUACACCCUUCCGGGAUGUAAGGUAAAAAGGAGGUGUGACAGCUUUGGCGACUCUGCUGGGGAGAUCCCAGAAUCUCUGGUUCAGGGUUCAAAAUUCGAGCUUAUUAAUAUGAUUUUGCUUGGCUUUAUUUAUUGUUGAUAUUAUUGUAUUUUGUGAACUUUUUGUGCUAAGUACUAUCUGUUUAUCGCUUUAAUAUUGUCUGGAUUGUGUGAGCACGUGAUUUUUUNNNNNNNNNNNNNNNNNNNNNNNNNCUUUCUUCUUCUUCGAACCAACGACCCCCCCCACUGCCAUCUCCAAGCUCCCUCGACCUCCAUGGAUGCCCUCCUUCUUCUUCGAACCAACGACCACCCCACUGCCAAACGACCACCUCCCGUCGAUAACCUACAGCCCAACGACCCUCCAGUCGCGAGCUCCAGCCUUCUCCAUCGACGUCCAUCGCCACCUGAAACAGCCUGCCUCACCUUCUCCAUAGCCACCCUCCAGUCCAAAACGAGACCAGCCACCCUCCAGUCCAAAACGAGACUAGCCAUCCGAGGUCGUGCUCAGUCGUACGUCAAGGCAGUGCGUCGAGGUUCCGUCCGAGCCCGUGUUUGUUAGUCAAGCGUCGAAACAGUGUUGUGAACGAAGCUGUAUUUCAUCGGAAGUUCAGCAUUGUUCGACGUCGGAUCGUUAGCAUAAAGGUCAGCCAUAGCUCAUUCACGGAUUUUUGCUUUUUCUUUGGAGUUUUGUUUUCACUGUGCGUAACGGAGCAAGAAAGUGCAGUAGUAAAGGUCAUAUCUCUUACCUUGAAUCUAUGCUAUUCACGGAUCUAUUUGUGGUUUCGUUUUAAUGUGGGUUCAUUUUGAUAAAGUUUUCGCAUGAAGUAUCCUACUGCAUAUUCGUUGAAAUUAUAUGUGUAUGCGUUUUGACGACUUUCCUACUGUUUUGAGUUCAAUUGAUGAUUGUGUUUAGUGAUUUGGAUAUACUUGUUUGUUCUGUUAAGUUUGUUCUGAUAUGAAUCUGACCUUAUUGAAUUGUCCUAAUGUUGUUGAUUGCGAGUUAGUUUCAUGUGUUUAAUUAGUCAAUUGUUAGGAUUUCUCAAUUAAGAUUGGUUAUAGCUGCUAUAGUUUGGUUAAUUGAUUAGGAGGAUUGGAUAUAGCUGAUGGGGUAGAAUGGUAAUUUCAAUAGUUUCAGGGGUAUUUUGGGAUUUAAAGUUUUAAAAAUGAUUAAUUUGAUUGCUCUGUCCACUAAGCACUAAUAAUAUUAAAAUAUGACAUUGUUUAAUACAUAGUGGGGGACAAGACAUUUGCUAGUUGGGAACAAGACAUUUGCUAGUGGGGAACAAGGCAUGCAAGUGUGAGGAACAAGGCAUGCAAGUGUGGGGAACAAGGCAUGUAAGUGUGGGGAACAAAACAUAAUGGUAUGAAAAGCUUAAAAAUGGUUGAUUAAAAUAUGUUGCCCAUACCCAUUUUUGGGUUAUAAAUAGGGUCAUUUCAAGACAGAAAAGGGGCUGAUUUUUUUGGAGAGGAAAAAAUCAGUUCUCUUUCAGUCUUUUUUUGAGAGAGUCUAGGCUGGAUUUUUAACAUUUAAAAGUUCAGUAAUCUGAAAGUAAAAAAAGAGGCUGGUUUUUAAUCCUAAAAGGUUCAGUGUUUGGAGAGCUAAGAAACUAAAAAGUGAGUCUUUUCUUUUACUGCUGAAUAUCAGAACUAGUACUGUUGCUGUUUCAUUGGUGUUGCUGUUUGGUAUUUCUGGGGUUUCAAUUGGUUCUUCAUGAGUUUGCUAUUGGUUAUUGGCUAUUGUUUUCACUGGGUUGUUCUGUCACUGUGUUGCUGUGUUAUUACUGUUGCUGAUUGCUCCUUCAUCUUCUUGUAUUUCUGUUAUCCAGGUACACGUUCUAAAGCUCUCAAAUUUAAAGGAAAGGAAGUAAAGAGUUGUUGGAAUGGAUUUCUGAAUUUCUCUUGUUUCUUUGUGUUUAAUUUGAUGUAUAAGCGGUAGUUCACUUGAUAUUUCAUAGUAUGUAUUGGAAUGACUUUGGAAUGCAUAAAAUGGACUGAUUGAAUCUAUUUCUACAAAUAUGGAAUAUCAAUUGUAACUAAUCUUAGUUGGUGAUUACUAGUUACGAAUUCCCCUUCUUCAU
rnacentral:lncRNA from 1 species